UCCAGGAGUGGGCUGCUACCAGGAAGAGCGAGAGGCACGUUGCUGUGUGUGACUCGGUUUUGACGCUUUUAAUUAUUAACUAAGUUCUUUUAACUGAAAUGUAAUAAUGUCGAACUGCAGGAGCCAACUACUAAACCCGUGGGUCGUCGUGCGAGAGUGUUAAGUGGGAUUUAUCUGCGGAAUUGGACAUGUUGGAUGGCGAGACUAGAGUCUGAAGCUUUAUGCCUGGAACCGAACCAACCGAACUGCAUCCACCCAACCGAGCCCCGGGCAGCUGGGUUCCGUGUGAUGGAUGUUGGGGGUCCUACCUGUGCACUUCUUCAGACUGCCGGGGCGUUUGCCGUGCAUGCCCAGCUUGCAGUUGAAGUUCUCCUCCCAGAAUUCGGCGAACCAGACGUUCCUUCGGUUGUUGGAGAGGGAGCGGCUCCGGAAAUAUCGGUCAAAAGCUGCAGAAGGAAACAUCCGGCAGUAUUAACGACGAGGUGAGCGGCCGGGUGCUGGAGAUGGAGGAAGCCGAGACAGAGACUGAAAAUCCAUCCAUCCAUUUUCUACCGCUUAUUCCCUUUUGGGGUCGCGGGGGGCGCUGGCGCCUAUCUCAGCUACAAUCGGGCGGAAGGCAGGGUACACCCUGGACAAGUCGCCACCUCAUCGCAGGGCCAACACAGAUAGACAGACCACAUUCACACUCACAUUCACACACUAGGGACCAUUUAGUGUUGCCAAUCAACCUAUCCCCAGGUGCAUGUCUUUGGAAGUGGGAGGAAGCCGGAGUACCCGGAGGGAACCCACGCAUUCACGGGGAGAACAUGCAAACUCCACACAGAAAGAUCUCGAGCCUGGAUUUGAACCCAGGACUGCAGGAACUUCAUAUUGUGAGGCAGACGCACUAACCCCUCUUCCACCGUGAAGAGACUGAAAAGUCCAAACAAAAAAACUGAAUUGUGGUAAUCAUUAAAAAAAAACCAUGUAAACUCGACACGCUUGAUCUUGACGUGUAAAUGUGGAACCUCAAGAUAGCGACUUCUACAUAUAUAUAUAUAUAU